GCAGUACAUGGGUUCACAAAAGAAUUGGAUACAACUUAGUGACUAAACAACAAAAACAAAAUAUUCUUGUACAAGAAAUUCUCAGAGUGGUGACCUGCUAUUCUAGGUCAGGUCCCAGAAGCAGAGCCUGACACCUGGAUUCUGGUGGAGAUAAUUUACUUCAGGUGCUCUCAGGUGAAACCUAUAAGGGACAGAGGCAGCAGAGUAAGAAUGAGGUCUUAGGUCAAGUCUUGGAUUAUCCUUGAGACAAGGGGGCUGCCUUCUGUACCCCGUAUCAGUCAUCAGUUGGGCUGACCCCUCGGAGUGUGGGGGUAUAACUUCUUGGAUGAGAUGGCACCAAUCAGCUGAGGACAAGUCUCUUGAGAGGAAGCAGCUGUGAGCCAUCAACCCCCGAUACCAACAGCAGAUGUGGAAAGACUUCCUUGACCUGGGAAUUGUAAGAUCUAAGUCCUGUUCUUCAGGAGAAGGCAAUGGCACCCCACUUCAGUACUCUUGCCUGGAGAAUCCCAUGGACGGAGGAACCUGGAAAUCAACCCUGAAUAUUCAUUGGAAGGACUGAUGCUGAAGCUGAAGCUUCAAUACUUUGACCACCUGAUGUGAAGAGCUGACUCAAUGGAAAAGACCCUGAUGCUGGGAAAGAUGGAAAUCAAAAGGAGAAAAAAGGGGAGCAGUGGCAGUCAACACCAAUGUGUGGCAUGGGAUGAAUCUCUAACAGAAACCUCUGUGACUCUGCUUUGAGAAGUCUCUGCAAAGUUUGAAAUAUGCCAAAGAAAAAUGCCAGUGCUCCGCACUAUAAGAAUUACCAACUUUUAAUGAGUCCACUGAAGCAGAUAAUCAAUGAGGCUUCUAAAAGGCAGUUUUCUCCUCCAGGUCUUAGCAUCAUUACAAGCUCCUGAAGGAUGGAAGUUGUUCUGAAAGACUUAAAAAGGAUGAUAUGUACACAUACUCCUUUUAAAAAGCUGUUUUUCUAUGUUUUUAAAAAAUAAAGUUCAAAAAUACUGGAAAA
ensembl:lncRNA